rnacentral:lncRNA from 1 species
UCCCAUCUCCUCUCGCGCCCCUGCUCCUUCUUCCCAAACCUUGCUGCUGCUGCUGCUGCUCUCUUUUCCCCAAAACUGCUGCUGCUUCUUCUCUCCCGCGCCCCUUGCUGUUCCUCACUUGCUGAACCUCUGUUCUGAACCUCCUCCUUCUGCUGCUCCUUGUGUGUGUGUAAUUCAUAAAAAACAUAUUGUUGUGUCCAGUGAACAAUUAGUGUUGAGACUUGUUCAAUUGCAAACUGUUUUGUGCUAAAUUUAUAUGUGACUCUCAGUUCGUGGGUUGUAUCGAUUCAGAUUACUACCUGUGAUUUUAUUUUGUAGUGAAACUGCUCUUUGUGAAGUCAGAGGUGUGAUUGUUUUUUAUCUCAAGUUCAAUGUGCUAGCUACGUACCAGUGCCAUAUGUGACAUGUAUAUGUGAUGUGAAAUAAUUGUAUGUUGUCCCUAAUCUUGUUCCUUCCGUGUGUCUUAUACUUGCUAGUUUUAUAUACAUAUAUGUGUUAUUGUCUAGUUAGUUCCCAUUUGUUGAAGUUGUCCCCUGUAGUUUUUAUUUCUCAAGUGCUAGGAAAACACCAAAAAGAUAGUGAGUAAUAUCUGAACCUCCCUUUGCUAUUUUGCAUUUUCUUUGUGGAUUAUCUUCGGGAACAAUCAUUGUUAGUUUAGAUUCUUAUUUUCUGCAUUUAUCUCUUAAUAUUGUGCUACCUAGCUUUAGCCGAGCAUAGUCGUCGUCGCCUAGUCCCUGUGGAGAACGCGACACUCGUAGUUUGGGGCGUAAAAACCCCGCUAUAUUACAAUUGAUCAUUUUGGCGCCGUUGCCGGGGAUUAGCAUCGAGCGAUUGUGUGAAGCUAUAGACUAGGCUUAGUAUAGUUUUUGUUUAAAUUUCCAGCCAAAUUUAUUUCUGUGUUUCUUUUACCUUUUUACUUUUUGUUGCUUCAGCUUAUUAGGGUACUAACCCUCUCACCAGUCUUUGAUGUUUGUGAGCGUGUGUAGGAUAUCUUACUAUUUGUAGGCUCAUUGACAGUUGCACUUGAACAUAUGGCUUUAGUACAUGAUCUUUGGUUGCCAAGUAGUUUGGACACGAUGACAGGGCCAAUUUGGCUAUCUAUUGAGGCCGAAAAUUUUGAGUUGAGGCCUGGACUUAUUGCUCUUGUCUUGCAGAAUCAGUUUAGAGGAUUACCCAAUGAAGACCCUCAUGAGCACAUUAGUAAUGUUCUGGAGUAUGCUCAAAUCCCUAGUACACUAGAAAACUAAAUCAUUUUCUGCAUUUACUAUGAUACACCUAGAUCACCAUGUUUAGAUGCUGAAUUUGUGCCAAGUGUGUUCCCAUUGAGAGCAAUCACCUAACCACUAUGGAUUAGCAUGCUAUGUUCCCUGGAUCGGUAGCAUGUGAACCAGACAUGGAGAAGUGAUGAUUCCUGUUUUUGUGCUUAUGCGUUGUUCAUUUAAGAUAAGUAAUAAUGAAUAAAUUAGUCUGACUACCUACAGUAGCAUGUCAUGUUCUCGGGAUCGGUGGCAUGUGAAAUCGGGUUAGCUUGGGCAGUAAUUAUUAAUAGAAAAAUGUAAUUGUCGAACCAGGUGUAUACCAUGUUCUCGGGAUCGGUGGUAUGUUCCUUUGGGGAGACAAACAAAAAAAACUAUAUAAUUGGUCGAGCCGGGUCUACACCAUGUUCUCGGGAUCGGUGGUAUGUUCCUUUGGUGAGAUCAAUAAAAUAUUAUCAUUACUUCCUUCAAAUUCAAUAAGUGGUUCAACCACAAAGUUAUAUUUCUGCAAAUAAGAGAUUUAAUUCUAGUUCUUUUUUUCUCGGGAUCAUGCUCUCUUUAGUGGCACAAUCAACAUUUGAAUUUGUUGAUCCAUUUUUAUCAUUGUAAAAGUUUAAAAUGAUUGAGUCUACUAGUAUCCUAUUGCUUUGUAGCACUCUUAACCAUUAAUUUUCAUUAGCUAAGUCCAAAGCAUGCUUUGUUUGGAGAUCUACUUCAUUGGGACAUUCUCCAGUCAGCUCACUCUUCAUUAUCAAGCUCUUGUCAUAUUCCUUUGCUUGAGGACAAGCAAAAGUUUAAGUGUGGGGGAACUUGAUAAGCACAUUUCUUAUAUACAAUUUGGGCACACAAAUUCACCAUUUAUUGAGAUAUAUCAAUCCAUUAUUGCUACGACUUGUUGAAUAUUCGAAUGAUAAUCAUAAAAGAGAAUGUUGACUAGUGAAUUGUUUAUUUUACAGAAAAGUGCGCAAAGGCACUAUAAUCGUCAAGACUUCUACUAUGUGGCUAACGAGAAGAGAGAAGGGCAUGAAUAAAUACAUCAAGGCUUGAGCGUGAAGGAAAGAAGUAAUGUAGGGGAGCAAACUAAAAGAAGAGGAGGAUCUUCUUGGGCAGAAAUGAAGAGAAGAGGAGGGCCAAUGUGCAAAUGUGGCAGAUCAGAGAGGGGAAUGAAAUCCCUAGUCGCACCUCAUUGCAAAUCGGGCCUGGACACAUCUCUCUCUCCCUCACCCCUCCUUCUCCACCUUCGGCCGCCACCACAGCCAGGCCGGCGUGGGGCGCGCCACCAGCUCCACUAGCGCCAUCCCUCCACUUCACCGUCGCACAUCACCAGCACCGCUGGCUCCACUGCGCCCUCUCGAUCAGCGCCACUGCCUUCUCCUUCCCCUGCCUCCUCCCUCUCCUAGCGCUGCUUCUUCUUCCCUCGCCUCAAAUUGCUGCUGCUCUCUUCUCCCCUCACCUCCACACUGUUGCUACUACUUUCCUUUGCUGUUGUCCCAUCUCCCCUCGCGCCCCUGCUCCUUCUUCUUCCCAAACCUUGCUGUUGCUGCUCUCUUUUCCCCAAAACUAUUGACGCUUCUUCUCUCCCGCGCCCCUUGCUGUUCCUCACUUGCUGAACCUUUGUUCUGAACCUCCUCCUUCUGCUACUCCUUGUGUGUGUGUAAUUCAUAAAAAAACAUAUUGUUGUGUCCAGUGAACAAUUAGUGUUGAGACUUGUUCAAUUGCAAACUGUUUUGUGCUAGAUUUAUAUGUGACUCUCAGUUCGUGGGUUGUAUCGAUUCAGAUUACUACCUGUGAUUUUAUUUUGUAGUGAGACUGCUCUUUGUGAAGUCAGAGGUGUGGUUGUUUUUUUUAUCUCAAGUUCAAUGUGCUAGCUAUGUACCAGUGACAUAUGUGACAUGUAUAUGUGAUGUGAAAUAAUUGUAUGCUGUCCCUUAUCUUG